UACGAAGGGGACUAGCGUUGUUCGGAAUUACUGGGCGUAAAGCGCACGUAGGCGGAUUUGUAAGUCAGGGGUGAAAUCCCGGGGCUCAACCUCGGAACUGCCUUUGAUACUGCAAAUCUCGAGUCCGAUAGAGGUGGGUGGAAUUCCCGGUGUAGUGGUGAAAUGCGUAGAGAUCGGGAGGAACACCUGUGGCGAAGGCGGCUCGCUGGGCCGGCCCUGACACUGAGACGCGAAGGCGUGGGGAGCGAACGGG
rnacentral:rRNA from 1 species